UACGAAGGGGGCUAGCGUUGUUCGGAAUUACUGGGCGUAAAGCGCGCGCAGGUGGUCUUUCAAGUCAGUGGUGAAAGCCCGGAGCUCAACUCCGGAAAUGCCAUUGAAACUGUGAGACUUGAGGAUGAGAGAGGUGAGUGGAAUUCCCAGUGUAGAGGUGAAAUUCGUAGAUAUUGGGAAGAGCACCGGUGGCGAAGGCGGCUCACUGGCUCAUAUCUGACGCUCAGGCGCGACAGCGUGGGGAUCAAACAGG
rnacentral:rRNA from 1 species